ensembl:lncRNA
CAUUUGUCCAAAUCCUUUAUUAAAUUGGUAUGCUUAGAUUUUUCUCAUAUAAUCUUCAAAUGAAAUUAUAAGGGGCAUGAUUAUAAACAAUUAUCUAGCAAUGAUAUCUCUUAAGUCCUUAGAUGGCAUUUCCAAAAACAUGAGAUAACAUUUACUGUAAUUCAAGGUGAAAAAUGUUUCAUCAAAGACUGUGCCAAUGUCUGCCCAAAAUAAUGGGAGCAGCUACAAGGAACACAAAGACGCUCUCAGGGACCGUCAAAGGAAGUCUCAUUUGUGACAUCUCUGCAAUGUGCUGCGUUUCACUUUCGAAGACGUUUUCCGAGUUUGAUCAAAGUUCUCCGUCGUGCAUAGACCAUUUCGGUUUGGGACAUCUUGGGUGCACAGAGAGGAAGCCUUGUAGGUCAGGAGUUCUGGUAUUGCGAUUCUUUGCAUGAGUUACUGCUCAUGGGUGGCAUGACUUUCGAGGUCUCGGCUUCUUUGUCAGUGAUAGGAGAGACUGAGCCAGACCAGCAGGUUUCAGGCAAUCUCAGAAGUAUCUACAAAGGCACUGUGCAGCUUACCCUUGUACAGAGAAAGAUGAGAUCCUUGGGUGAGGAUCUGAAACCCUCGUGUGACCACCUCCCACGCCAGCUUAAUGAGAGCAGUCCUGAUACCAUGUUUUUACCUAUUGUAUUUCUUUGUGCAUCCUCAUUUGAACAAAGGAUGUUGCUGUUGAAAGAAGGCUGAGAACAAAUGUCUAUUAAGGAAGGUCUCAUGGAAAUACUUUGAUUCUAAGUUUAAGGACCAUGUAGUUACCCUGAAGUCAAUGGGACACAGAACACAUAUAGCACUGAGGAUAGUGACCUCAGUAAACAUUGCAAGAUUGAUCAUUAAUUGUCAUCUGUAGGAUGCAGUAAAUUCCUCUUCAAAGUUUAGCCUGUUCAUGUCUUUUAAAAUUUAAGAGGGAGAAAAUUGUUAAGUACAAUGAGUUCUCUGAGUUCCUCUCCAAAGAACCAAUGUGUCAGGAUGUUCGGCUGUUCUUUGUUCUCCACUUUAAAGUUUAACUUUCUCGUUCUUUACGUCUGUUUGCCCCUAGUUUCAGUAAACAACUCCCUCCUAGCCUCUAUCACCUGCUCUGUCCUUAGUCACCUGUUCUGUCCUUAGUCACCUGUUCUGUGCCUAGUCAUCCAUAGUCACCUGCUCUGUCCUUAGUCAUCCAUAGUCACCUGCUCUGUCCUUAGUCAUCCUUAGUCAUCUGCUCUGUCCUUAUUCACCUGUUUUGUCUUUAGUCACCUGCUCUGGUCUUAGUCAUUCUUAGUCACCUGCUCUGUCCUUAGUCACCUUUAGUCACCUGUUCUAUCCUUAGUCAUUGUUAGUCACCUGCUCUGUCCUUAGUCACCUACUCUAUCCUUAGUCAACCUUAGUCAUCUGCUCUGUCCUUAGUCACCUGUUCUGUCCUUAGUCAUCCAUAGUCACCUGUUGUGUCCUUAGUCACCCUUAGUCACCUGUUUGGUCGUUAGUCACCUGCUCUGUCCUUGGUCACCUGUUCUGUCCUUAGUCAUCCUUAGUAACCUGUUCUGUCCUUAGUCAUCCUUAGUCACCUGUUCUGUCCUUAGUCACCUGCUCUGUCCUUAGUCAUCCUUAGUCACCUGCUCUAUCCUUAAUCACCUGUUCUGUCCUUAGUCACCUGCUCUGUCCUUAGUCAUCCUUAGUUACCUAUUCUGUGCUUAGUCACCUGCUCUGUCCUUAGUCAUCCUUAGUCACCUAUUCUGUGCUUAGUCACCUGCUCUGUCCUUAGUCACCUGUUCUGUCCUUAGUCAUCCUUAGUCACCUGUUCUGUCCUUAGUCAUCCUUAGUCACCUGUUCUGUAACCGUCCUGCCACUCUGGCUCGCACCCCUGCUCUCUUUAAAAUAGCCAAUCGGAAUUAGCGUAGACUGUGCAGUCCAACCCUAGUAAAUAGGGGAAAGAUAUAGCAGUAGGGCUAGCUGUGUUAGGAAUAAGGCCCCCUUCCCCUCCCUUGUCCAGUGUGCUCUUGCCAUUGUUCCAUCUGUGAGAUGCACACUUCUAUAAAGGUAAAUUGCCUUGCUGAGAAAACUUUUGCCUGAGUGCUAAUUUCAGUUGGUGGCACCGAGCAUUUACUUCCAACAUCAUCCCAUCCAACAGCCUCACAGUUGCCCUGUUAUGGCUGAACGAGCUUGUCGUAUAGGCCUGGGGAGCAUGAACAGAUUCCAGAGUGAGACUGCCAGUGCCGAAAUGAGACUGUUAGUAGUUUUUAUUUAUUCCACUUUUGUUCUAGGUUUCACUGAGGAAACGCUGGUUUCAGGGUGCUGCUCAGAUUCCCCUGGGCUGUUAUCUGCGUAUUACUUUCUGUCUGAUGGGUCCUCUGGGUAGCUGACACUGACAUGGAGUUCAAAGAGAUGACCAAGGGUGACUCCUGGGAAAAAUAAAAGGGAGUAGAAGCAGGCUGAGAUAUGGAAAACCUUCCCGCCACUGUGGAGGUCUGACAGCUUAGACCACAUUACAGGUCACAUGUGGGCUCGGCUAACUCCACAGGGAGUUCUAGGGUGAGGAGCCUCAUGUUGGGCUGAAUCAGCCAGGCCCCUGUGCCUUUCUGUGCCCACUUCUUGGCUGGGGACUGCCAAGAAAGAGCAUGGCGUUAACUUGAAAGCCGAGGUCGAUCUUAAAUGAACUACCAGAUGCAGGUUGGAGAGUGUUAGCUACCUGCACUCAUCGCUGUGGAAGAGAUAGUUCUUUCUCUAAGGGAGAUCUGAGAGCUACUGCCCUGGGGCUGCCAUGUAGCUCUCACUCUCUCUCUUUUUUUAAAAAAUAGCUUUAUUGAUGUAUAAUUCACAUGCCUUAAAGCUUACCCAUUAAAAGUGUACUGUUCAGUGAUUUUAGCAAAUGUAUACAGUUGUGUAACCAAAAUCACAAUCCAGUUUUAGAAUGUUUCCAUCAUCCCAAAAUGUUU